rnacentral:lncRNA from 1 species
GGGAAAGACUGAAAGAAGCUCUGGAGAAGAGCGACCACCACCAAACAGGCAGCAUACACCAGCUGAUAUGAGGACCUGAACACACAUACAGUAGAGGACUGCCAGAGUACCUUUGAGCACCAUGAAUGCUGGUUAGGAGUAAAGCUUCUAAUUGGGCACCAGCUGACCAGUCCAUGUUAAGUUACAUGUUAUCAUGGAGAAAGAAUGAAGCUUUGCUGGUUAUUCAUGCUGAUCAUGAUUCAAGAUCUGAACGCAUUCACAUAUAUUUUUUAAAGAAGAAUGGAAAUGAAUAAACUCAAAAUACAGGAACUUUAAAAAGAAUUGUGGAACUCUGUUUGUAAAGGUUCAUGCCACUAUGGAAAUAGAACCUAAGUAAGAUAUUCAUUAGAAGUGUCUAUUAUUUAAAAAAUGUUUCUGUGUUAUCUAUGUAUGGGAGGGG